GGGGCCGAUCGGUUUCGACGAUCUGAGUUGAGCAUGGGGAAGCGAGCCGUGGACGCCAAGUGACCACGUUAAAACCCCUUGAGCAACCAAUUAAGUGCCGAAUCUAAGCGCACUGACUUCGCCCUCGCUGCCUGAUUGCAGCGACGCGAGUCUGUCAGCCUGAGUCUGCUAUCGCCUCAGUGUCUGGCAUCAGCUAGAUAGCCACUGGACUGUCAUCCUCGUCGUGGGGAUGCCGGUCGAGAUCUCACACGGCUGGGUCUGUCAGGCGCUCGUCUGCGUGACGCCUGGGACCGAGCAACACUAUGAGCAGACUACGCUCGUAGAAGCCCAUGUGAAUCCAGAUCGGACCCGGGUUCAAUUCCCGGCGGCUCCACCA
rnacentral:tmRNA from 1 species